CUAGAUCUUUUAGAUCAUCUCCAAAUCGUUCACCACCACAACUGACAACAUCACCAAAUCAAGUAAUUUCCAAAAAAUAAAAUUCAAACAGCUAGAAAGAAAGUCUAGAAGCAUAACAAAACACUAAAAAAAACAAAACAAAACAUUAAAUUCACUCUAAUCACAUUUUCUUUCCAUAUUUUUUUCAGACUUAAUUUCUGCAACAUACAUUCUUCAGAGCAAAUAAAUCAAUGCCAAUACCAUAAACAGUCGAUUAAAAAACACAAAAGAACUAAAUUUAAUUUCAUCACAAUUUCUCGACAUCGUUUUCUAAUCAACCAAACAUGGCCCUAAAGUACACUCAACCUCUAAAACACCUCAAAUCAUCAAACAAAAAAUACCCAGAAACUUAAAAUAAAAAAGAAACAAAACCCAGAUGCCGACCUACAUAAAAACCAAUAUUUAUUCACAAAAAAAAUAAAAUCCAAACCUAGGGUUUGAGAUCGAACUCAAAAUUAAACUUCCAAUCACGAUAGCAAUCGAGAAGUGAAACUGAGAAAUCGGAAGAAGAAAACUGAGAAAGGGGAAGAGCUAACAAGAAGAGAGCAAUUGGAAGAAAAAG
rnacentral:lncRNA from 1 species